UUUCUGCUUUCUUCUGAUAUCUCAGAACCUGAGACUGAAUCUGUAUGGAAGGAUGCAAGAUACAACAAAGAAGAAAAUCCAGUGCUUUGCUGAAGACUGAAUUCCUUUUAGAGCAUUCUGAGAUCCUGCUAUUAUUAUGGCUGAUAUUUUAUCUUCAGGACUAAACUAUCCUCUGGGAAUCAUAAUCGAAAUCUCUACAGAGUCUCGCCCUCAAUUCUGCAUAUGGAAGAAAAAUCAUAGUGCUGUUUGUCCUUGUUACCUGAACUUGGAAUAAUGACAGUACCCUGAACUAUUUCUGGCAACCUGAA